ACUGUGGAUGGGUUCAAGCUAAUGUCCGUGCUGCUUUGUGCUCUCCUAUGCAGAGUGUAGCUGAACAGCUCCUGAAUAAGAUGAAGAGUGCACUUCAAUAUGUUUCUAGUCAUGGAGGGUUUUUUUCAGUGUGCUGAGACUUCUAGCAUUGAGACUGAGCUAUUAAAGUAAUGGUUGUUUCUGUUUCCUGCAGUGUGAUUUGUGUAUGGAUGAUGUGCCAAGGGAGAUAUGCUUUGAAGAAUUAGAAACAAGAUGCAAGUAACAUAAAGUUAAG